rnacentral:rRNA from 1 species
UGGUGGAGUGAUUUGUCUGCUUAAUUGCGAUAACGAACGAGACCUUGACCUGCUAAAUAGCCAGGCUAGCUUUGGCUGGUCGCCGGCUUCUUAGAGGGACUAUCGGCUCAAGCCGAUGGAAGUUCGAGGCAAUAACA